rnacentral:rRNA from 1 species
ACCCCACUGCUAUCGGGAUGGGACUAAGACAUGCUAGUUGAGCGCUUCCAGCCAACACGGGAGCGCAGCGCACAGCUCAGUAACACGUGGCUAAUCUGCCCUUGGGACCGGAACACCCCCGGGAAACUGGGGCUAAUUCUCGAUAGGUGAAGAACUCUGGAAUGAGUCUUUGCUUAAAAGACGUUUGCGUUAUGCUCGUAAGCGUCGCCCAAGGAUGAGGCCGCGACCGAUCAGGUUGUUGGUGAGGUAAUGGCUCACCAAGCCUUUUACCGGUGCGGGCCGUGAGAGCGGGAGCCCGGAGAUGGGCACUGAGACAAGGGCCCAGGCCCUACGGGGCGCAGCAGUCGCGAAAACUUUGCAAUAAGCGAAAGCUUGACAGGGCUAUCCCGAGUGCCAUCCGCUGAGGAAGGCUUUUACCCAGUCUAGAACGCUGGGGGAAUAAGGAGAGGGCAAGUCUGGUGUCAGCCGCCGCGGUAAUACCAGCUCUCCGAGUGGUGUGGAUGUUUAUUGGGCCUAAAGCAUCCGUAGCUGGCUAAGUAAGUCCCUUGUUAAAUCCACCGAAUUAAUCGUUGGAUUGCGGGGGAUACUGCUUGGCUAGGGGACGAGAGAGGCAGACGGUAUUUUCGGGGUAGGGGUGAAAUCCUAUAAUCCCGGGAAGACCACCAGUGGCGAAGGCUGUCUGCUAGAACGCGCCCGACGGUGAGGGAUGAAAGCUGGGGGAGCGAACCGGAUUAGAUACCCGGGUAGUCCCAGCUGUAAACGAUGCAGACUAGGUGUUUGGACGGCCACGUGCCGUUCUAGUGCCGCAGGGAAGCUGUUAAGUCUGCCGCCUGGGGAGUACGAUCGCAAGAUUGAAACUUAAAGGAAU